rnacentral:rRNA from 1 species
UAUAGCCUACGGGGGGCAGCAGUAGGGAAUCUUCCACAAUGGGCGCAAGCCUGAUGGAGCAACGCCGCGUGGGUGAAGAAGGUCUUCGGAUCGUAAAACCCUGUUGUUAGAGAAGAAAGUGCGUGAGAGUAACUGUUCACAUUUCGACGGUAUCUAACCAGAAAGCCACGGCUAACUACGUGCCAGCAGCAGCGGUAAUACGUAGGUGGCAAGCGUUAUCCGGAUUUAUCGGGCGUAAAG